UGAAAUUGACGAUUAAUUGAUGAUAUAGAUAUAUGUAUGAAAGGUUUACUGGUACCCUGAGAAAGGGUGGAUGGACCUAUACAUAGGGAUCCCUACUGUUGACAUUACCUCAGCCGAACGGGAGUGAGAAGUCUCAUACUGGAAAGGUUUGAGAGACAUGAUUCACCCUUAUAUCAGGCGGGGUAUCAAGGCAAUGGUAUGUUUGGCGCUCAUUACCAGACGGAGAAUAGGGACGGCCGGGUUAACUAACAAAUCUAUAUAUUUGGUUCAUGAAUAUGGAAAUAUCCCUAUGGAUCCCUAAUGGUUCCAAUAAGCAGGUUGCUAAUCUUGUUCACUUGUAC
rnacentral:lncRNA from 1 species